rnacentral:lncRNA from 1 species
GACCUUGUAUGAUUUCUCUGGCAGUUUCGACGACGAUGCAGCCUCUGGCAUCGACUAGAGAGAUUUAGUAGCCGAGCUUACGGUAAAUAAUGGUGCGUUGUGUUUAAAGUUUUUGACCUUCAUCAGAAG